rnacentral:misc_RNA from 1 species
UUUCCGUAGGUGAACCUGCGGAAGGAUCAUUAUCGUACAAAAUGUGAGGGGCAUGCGAGGGCUGUCGCUGACCCAAGAGUCGUGCACGCCCGAGUGUGUCCUCUUGCAUAGUAAUCCAUCUCACCCUUUGUGCAUCACCGCGUGGGCACCCUUCGGGAUCAUCUCGGAGGGGGGCUCGCGUUUUCACACAAACCCCCCUUUUAAAAGUGUAGAAUGACCACAUUUAUGCAAUCAAUACAACUUUCAACAACGGAUCUCUUGGCUCUC